CCUCAAAUCCUUUUGGCUGUGUUUCAGCCUUAAGGUUGAAGUUUUCUCACACACAUGUGGUAAUAGGUACUCAGCUGAAGACCUGAUCAGGCUCUCUGCAAACGGAGACAAUGAGUCUCAAUGCCCCUGUCUCAGAGCAGAUUAGGAGGCCCUUGUUAAUGGAGUUGGCUUAAUGCUUUACUGACUUCUCAUAAAGCCACACAGCCUGUAGUAGGAACACUGGUGUCAACUCUAAUUUCUCUGAUACUCCAUUUAAAUAAAGUCAUUACCCAAAGGCCCCCAGGUAUUUAAAGAACAACCUAACAAUAUGGCUACUGCCUCAUGUGCAUGUGGAAUGAUGUUCUCCCUGGAUUGCUGUGCAUGUUGCACAUUCUU
rnacentral:lncRNA from 1 species